GAUGAAGGAGUAAGUAAUUAAUAGGUGAUCACUUUAGAAUUUUAAUAUGAACUAGCUAUGUUUCAUUUAAAUUUGAGAAAUAUGUUCUGUUUUAUAGAUAAACUAAGAUUUUAAGAAGAGAAAGAGAGUUGGAAUUAGAUGUCUUCUACAUUCCAUUACGAAGACAGUGGAAAAUACAACAUAUAUAGAUAAAAAAAAAGUUAUUUUAUCAAGUGGUAGGAUUUUACUGCAGAAAAAGAGAAAUGUUAUAUUGUGACUGGUUUCUCGGUUGAUUUGAAGGAAUAAUGUGCAGGAGGUAUCUGACAAGUGGUUUUUAAUUCUUCCUUUAGAUUUAAAGAACAUGUGCAAAAUAACUUGCCUAGAGAUCUUUUAACUGGUGAACAGUUUAUUCAGUUGAGAAGGGAAUUAGCUUCUGUAAAUGGACACAAUGGUGAUGACGGACCUCCUGGUGAUGACCUUCCAUCAGGAAUUGAAGACAUAACUGAUCCAGCAAAGCUAAUUACUGAAAUAGAAAACAUGAGACAUAGAAUCAUUGAAAUUCAUCAAGAAAUGUUUAAUUAUAAUGAGCAUGAAGUUAGUAAGAGGUGGACAUUUGAAGAAGGUAUUAAAAGACCUUAUUUUCAUGUGAAACCACUGGAAAAGGCUCAGCUAAAAAACUGGAAAGAAUACUUAGAAUUUGAAAUUGAAAAUGGGACUCAUGAAAGAGUCGUGGUUCUCUUUGAAAGAUGUGUCAUAUCUUGUGCCCUCUAUGAGGAGUUUUGGAUUAAGUAUGCCAAGUACAUGGAAAACCACAGCAUUGAAGGAGUGAGGCAUGUCUUCAGCAGAGCCUGUACUGUUCAUCUCCCAAAGAAGCCCAUGGCGCACAUGCUGUGGGCAGCUUUUGAGGAACAACAGGGGAAUAUUAAUGAAGCCAGGAUUAUCUUGAGAACGUUUGAAGAAUGUGUUCUAGGAUUGGCAAUGGUUCGAUUGCGAAGAGUUAGUUUAGAACGACGGCAUGGAAAUAUGGAAGAAGCUGAACAUUUGCUUCAAGACGCUAUAAGGAAUGCCAAAUCAAAUAAUGAGUCAUCAUUUUAUGCUAUCAAACUAGCCCGACAUCUUUUCAAAAUACAGAAAAACCUUCCAAAAUCAAGAAAGGUACUUUUGGAAGCAAUCGAAAAAGAUAAGGAAAACACAAAGUUAUACCUCAAUUUACUUGAAAUGGAAUACAGUUGUGACCUCAAGCAAAAUGAAGAAAAUAUCCUCAAUUGCUUUGACAAAGCCAUACAUGGUUCGUUGCCUAUUAAAAUGAGAAUUACGUUUUCUCAAAGAAAAGUGGAAUUCCUUGAAGAUUUUGGCUCAGAUGUUAAUAAGUAAGAUCUUAAAUCCAUCUUUUUAUAGAACACGAGCAUUGCUAUUUUAUGAUGAGAAUUUGAUGGUUGUUAUACAUUAAGUUUAUUUUUAAAAAUUUCCGGUAUGUAUGUGUGCAUAUGUUCCAAGAUGUAUGUAAGGUCAGAAAAGAGCUUCCCUGAGUUUUUUCUCCAUUUGCAUAGAUUUUAGGGAACAGAUUCAAGUAACCAGGAUUUCUCAUGCUUUAUGUGCUGAACUGCCUUAUUGAACCUAAUACUAAAUUUAAGUGUUUGGGUACUUUACCUUCAGAAACAUGUGGAGGUAAUUUAGUUUUGUAAAUAUGUGUAUAGGAUAUAAGUUCUAUCAUCCCUUCAAACUAUUUUCCUGUUUUAAAUCAAUUUUGAGUGUGAAUAUGCCAUGUUGUGCAUGUGGAGGUCAGAAGACAACUUGUAGCAGUUCGUUCUCUCCUUCCUCCCUGUGGGCCCCACAGAAAGAGAAGUGAGGUAAAGAUUGAACUAUGAGACACACAUGAAGGUCAGUAGGUCGGUUGGUCAGUAGGAUGGCUGCAGUAGAUGUAAAGUUCAGUGGUGGGGUACUUAUCUGUCAUGUACAAGGCCCUGAUUCAUUGCUCAGAAACAUGCACAGAGCUAGGAUAGGACUAAUCUGGAAUAGAAAUGCCAUCAUAUCUCAGGUUUGAAUAAUGUGAUCACAUAGAUCUUGCCUGGUGGCCUUUUCCUACUAAAUCAUAAAAAAGCUGAAAGAUAAGGGUGAUCUAAGGAUAGGUGUAGAUCUCAGCUUACAAUUUAAAUUUGAUAACCCUGAAAAUAGAAAUAUAGCCAAGAACAUUGAUUGGUAAAGUUUGGGUUGCUGUAAUAUAUUCCAGUGCCAAAUAGGCAUGCACCUUUGCCAGCUGAUUUAGAAUAAUUUCCAUGGAAACUGCACUAAACUUGUGUAUUUAUGUAUGUGUGUAUGUUUUCAGCUUAACAUAGCAGCUAGUAUUUUGUUUCUCGAAACCUUGCGCAGUAUUUUAUAUUUGUGUAGUACAGAUUUCAUAGCCAUUUAAUUCAUUCAUAUACUUUUGCUUUAGUAGCUCAGCUAUCCAAAUUUUCAAGUUUUGUAUUUGAGGAUGAAAUAAGACCGUUUUAUAGUUUCCGUUCCUUACUACUUGGUAUGUUAUAUAGUCGGUGUCUUCUGUUUUUACACUGAACGUAUACAGAAGAAAUGAUUUUAUGUAAUGCGGUAGCUUUUAGUUGGGAUGGUAC
rnacentral:lncRNA from 1 species